ACAGUAGCUCAGUGAUAAAGCAUCUGCUUUGCAUGCAGAAGGUCCCAGGUUCAAUUCUGGGCAUCUCUA